GAUGAACGCUGGCGGCGUGCCUAAUACAUGCAAGUCGAGCGAAUCGUGGACGGGUGUGUAACACGUGGAUAAAAUCCUAUAAGACUGGGAUAAAUUAGGGAGACCGGAGCUAAACCCGAUACUUAAGGUUUGAUCUACGAUGCAGUAGCUAGUUGGUAAGGUAACGGCUUACCAAGGCAACGAUGCAUAGCCGACCUGAGAGGGUGAUCGGCCAAACGGGAACUGAGAACGGUCCCAGACUCUUACGGGAGGCAGCAGGAGGGAAUCUGCCGAAAUGGGCGAAAUCCGGACGGAGAAACGCCGCGGGAGUGAGGAAGGUCUUCGGAUCGUAAAACUCUGUGAUUAGGGAAGCGGUACCUAAUCAGAAAGCCACGGCUAACUACGUGCCAGCAGCCGCGGUAAUAC
rnacentral:rRNA from 1 species